rnacentral:tRNA from 1 species
UCCCUGGUAGCUCAGUUGGUAGAGCAAUUGGCUGUUAACCAAUGGGUCGUAGGUUCGAGUCCUACCUGGGGAG